CCUACGGGUGGCUGCAGUGGGGAAUAUUGGACAAUGGGGGGAACCCUGAUCCAGCCAUGCCGCGUGUGUGAAGAAGGCCCUCGGGUUGUAAAGCACUUUCAGUGAUGAAGAACGCCUGGUGGUUAAUACCCAUCAGGAAAGACAUCACUCACAGAAGAAGCACCGGCUAACUCCGUGCCAGCAGCCGCGGUAAUACGGAGGGUGCGAGCGUUAAUCGGAAUUACUGGGCGUAAAGCGCGCGUAGGUGGCUUGAUAAGCCGGUUGUGAAAGCCCCGGGCUCAACCUGGGAACGGCAUCCGGAACUGUCAAGCUAGAGUGCAGGAGAGGAAGGUAGAAUUCCCGGUGUAGCGGUGAAAUGCGUAGAGAUCGGGAGGAAUACCGGUGGCGAAGGCGGCCUUCUGGACUGACACUGACACUGAGGUGCGAAAGCGUGGGUAGCGAACAGGAUUAGAUACCCUGGUAGUC
rnacentral:rRNA from 1 species